rnacentral:rRNA from 1 species
AACAGCGACAAGUUGAACGCAUAUUGCACAUCGUACAACAGUACGAUGUACACAUUUUUGAGGGCCUAUAUUUAUCCAUUCAACUAUACGUGUGCAUGCGCGUUUCACUUCGGGUGGACGGGCGCAAGGGCCUCCCGACGGAUCCGCCAGGCACGUAUGCGUAGUGAUGUUUUCCCAGCGUCCCCCAGCGCGCCAAUAAAACAUUGAAGAUAGUCAGGGCGCGCCGCCGCUACCCACGGUUGGCGCGAGUUGAUGAAUACAUCCCAUCGCCGAAUGGUUGGCCAUUGUAUUCCAUCACACACCCAUCACCCAUCACCUUGAAUAAUCAGUAAGCCUCAAAUAAUGUGUGAC